ACUUUAAUACCAUCUGCGCAUCGUUUUUCUUUGCCAUCACCCCCAAUCAGCUAUAACCAUAACAGUUGUAAAAUCAAAGUGAAACCGAAGUCUGUUGCAGAUCCCUCUACGUGGUACCAAGCAGUCAGCGCGAAGGCGAGAAAGAGAGGCCGAUAGUGAAGAAACCGCCGAGUGCGGAGCCCAACCACACGAGCGGCGAAGCCGAGACCAAAACGAAGCAUAAGGGCCGCCUCUGUCAUAUGUUGUGACGACUAAGUUUCAACUGGAGUAGCCAGAGCAGUACGGAAAAAGCCGACAAAGUGGACAGAGUAAAGCCGUCCAAAUCGAUCGACUAGUCCGCUCGGACGCUCCUUCACGUCUGUUAAACAUUAGAUACUUGUACAUUUCGACUAUUAGACACUUUUAUAUUAGCUAGAACAACGUGGGAUACCUUUCGUUUCACUUGAACAAAAUUAUUAAAAAUACAUUGAAUAAUGCCAUCCAAAUUGUGGGGUAGAUAGAUAUAACUGUGCCGAUAGCGUCUAAAAUCCACGCACGUGAUUGGUUGUUCCACGAAAGGACAGUGUCAUGCCAAAGGUAUGAAACUUAAAUAAUAAUCUUGUUCAUUAAAACGAAUUUUCGAGAUGACACUAAAAUGUAAUUGUAGUAUUUUAAUCUCUACGUCGUCGUUCGACGGUAUGGUUUCCUGUAAAAUCUAGGUAAAUGUUUAUUCUAAUUAAUGUAUUAUUUACAUAGACUGUGAUCUAGUAUUACUUCACGAGAUUCUAUUUUAAAACUACUAAUUAGGACAGCCAUAGACUCUGCUUGCUAUUAAAUAAAAACUUUUAACGUUUCAAUAGAUGAAAAAAAAACUUUUCUUAAAAAUAAACAAAAAUCUUCGUCUGUGGUCAACUAUUUUACUUUUAAAAUAGAAUAUUCGUCUCUUGGCCUGUGAAAUAAAGUUUAUGGAAUAAAACCGUAAGUAAUAAGUAUGAAUUAAGAGAUUUUUAAUAAGUUUACAUAAUAUCCUCGAUCAAUUAAAUUGUUGAUAAUUUAUUUCAAGUUUUACUUUGUUAAAGCAGAAAGUAUUAAUAUGAUGCUAGUCGUUUAGUUUCAAAUAAUUCAAAUGAUGACACAAUUAUUAAUAUAAUUAUUACUUACAUUAUAUUUUUUCUGAGGCGCGUUGAACUAAUACGUCCAUACUGCUUAUGAAGCUAUUAGAAGUGCAAUAUUUAGUUACAAUAAUUUUAGUUAUGCUUAUUUAUAAAAAAAAAGGUUGCGAAGGUUAUAAAAGAAAAAUUAUUUAUAAUAAAUAUUAAGUAGGCUCCUUCUGUUUUAUGAUAAGAUUUCGUAAGAAGUGUAUUAUUUUAAAUAUUGUUUUAUUUUUGCAAAAAUAAAAGAGGAUUUGUAGUUGAUUAGUGAAUUUUGUUGAAUACGAUGAUUACUUACUAAAGAAGUAGCUUAGAAAAGUUUAAAGAUUGACGAGUUUAAAACAUUUCGUGAUUAAAUCUUCGCUAAGUUAAAUAAAAAGCAAUCAUUUUAAUAAAAUAAAAAGUUAAUUAAAAAUUGUAAUUCUUAACAAGUUCUUAAACCAAAACUAAAAGCAUUUUACAGUAAUUUUACAUUUUAAAUUCUAUUUUGAAAGCCUUUUUAAUAAUUACAUGUUUUAAAAUGUGCAAUUUUUGCUGUUGUUAUAGAUUUUAACUUGUAUGUUAGAAAAAUGAUUAGGUUUUUUCAAUUCUAACUUAGCUGGUACUAGUCAUCGUUCUAACAUAUUGAGUUUUCAUAGAUUUCAGAUGUUGUGAAAUAGACUAUAAUAAACUUUGAAUAGGGACUAUUGUGACUGUAUUUAACUUUAUGUAUUCAAUUCUACAGAUUUCCAUCUCGUUUUCUUAUAAACUGUGUUUAAAAUUAUGUUUUCCUCGAUUUUUUUUUACUUCUGGGUAUGAAUUUUUUAUUUUUAGUUAGACGAUCAAAAUGUUUUCCUAAAAAAUGAGAGAUCAUGUAGGUAGUUUUACGAGCCCAAUAAAAAAAACUAAAAAUAACAAAAAACAAAAAUCAAGUUUUAUUGAUCAUUUGAAAAUCAGAAAUAAUAACCCAGAAAAAAGAAGACGAACUCUCAAUGCUUUAUGCCCAGAAGUAAAAAUAAAAAAAACAUUGUAUCACAACCCAAAGAUUUAUCCGUUACGCUUAGUUAUAAACUAGAGUAAACCAAAAACAAGACAAUGAUAUUUUGUUAAGUUUUAAGAUAUUUUUUUAACAAAGUUGUUGUUGUGUUUAUCUGUGAAGAAUUCUAUUUUAUUAUCUGUCAACUCAUAGCUAAUGAGGAUUUAGACUGGUUUUCUGAGUGGGUUUCAUGAUGUAACAUAAGUUUUUACAGAACAUUAAUUCUGAUAAACUCGUUGCACUCCUUUACGUCGUCGUGAAUUCAUGUAAAAAAAUAUACUACCUACCCGUAACUACAAUAAUAUUACUAUGUUAACGCAACACUUCAUCUCUUAGAUAGAAAAAUGAAACAUUGCAUAAUACCAUUCAUUUUCUGUCUCUACCUGUCAAAAUGACGAUUUCGCUGGAUGAAAAGAGAUCAACGUAUUCUAGUUAUUGGAAUUUUGUAUACCUACUGUACUUUUUUGUUCUUUUUACUGAAAUUACUAAAAACAUCAUGAAACGGUCAGAAAACUCAGUCGAUCACCAGUAAAUCUGUAAAAAUUACUCCUGGAUGUUUUUCGACGAAUUAAAUAUUGUGAAGAACAA